AAGAGCCACCUACUAUGCUGGUGAAACAAGAAGACAGAAAAAGAGGACCACUGCUAACCCAUUUGACACCUGUGGAAUUAGAAAUAAGUGCUAUAGAAACCUGAGGGACACACAGGGAAAUCAGAAGACUAAGUGGAGAAGGGAGAAUCACAGACUGGGUUUUGUAUUAGGUAGGUUAAUAUUUUUAAUAUGUCAAAAACUGCAAUUCUGCACCAACUAUUGCUUCUUUGUGACACUUAUUCUUUACUUCUUUCACAGGAUAGCAAUUUUUCAUAUAUUUUAGCCAUUUUCUUAUCCAUAACAAAGUUCCAUGAGGGAAUGCCAAAGUCAUUUUGUCAAACUCUAUAGGGCUGGCUAGACCUUCACACAUAAUGAACAUUGCCUUUUGUUUGGAAACAAUAGCACAUGUGGAUUGGUGAUAGACUCUUGGUGAACAAAGAUUUCCUUUCAUAAAGUUAUCACCAAAUCCGGGAAGUCAAUAGUACAUCCUGCUACUAGAAGAUUGGCACUUCAUUCUCUGGGAGGCAUGGUCAAAUCACGUCUUAUUUGAGAAUAAUGAUACAUUUUGAGAAUAACUUAUUUUGCUUUUUAACUUAUUCUGCUUCGAAGGUGAUACUCUAUUCUUUUUAGCAUUCUUCAUGUAAACUUAUGCAUCAUCUAAUUUUAUUUUUUUCCCUUUAGAAAAAAUUAUCCAGAAGCUGAUACCGUCUGUCUUAAUUACCAUCUGUUAAUUUCCUUACCAAGUUCUGGAGAUUAAAAAUGGACACUGGAGGAACCUAAAGUUAUCUUCCUGAUUGUCAGGAAACAUCUCAAAAUCAUCUUCUACCUGUGUGGCAUACUCCCUCUGGUCAAGACCAUGCGUGACAGAACCUCAUUUUUUUUCCUCUCCAUGAAAUUUUUAAAAACAAAAACAAAAAACCAAAAACUAAUGAGGGAAUAUGCACAAUCAGAACGUUAAAAAGGCAGCUGUGUAUUCCAAAUCUAGAGUAGAGCCUAAAACAUAGUAAAGUCUCAAUAACUUAGUAAAUGAUGUAAGAAAACCAAUAACUUCAAUAUUCACUGUAUUUGGACAUUUGGACAGAAACAACAUAUAAAAAGUUAUGACAUAGAGAAGAAUAAAGAUAAUCUCCCUUAUUCUAUUCUUUAAAGUAGCAUUUACAAUUUUAAGAAAGAAAAUUAGCUACUGAGCUGCCAUAAGAUAUUGAAGUUUUCACAUAAGUCCUGAUUUGAUCCUUACAAUAAUCUUAUUUGGUUAAUAUUAUCCUUGUUUUGCUCAUGGAGACAAUUGAGUCUAUAAAAAACUUUCUUUCUCCCAGGUUGUACUGUUGGUAACUGGCAGAAUCAUAAUGUAAACCCAGGAAUUUCACUCAAACUCAGUUCUUUCCAAUAUCUUAUUUAUUCAGGCCCAGUAGGUAGGUAAUAGGAAAAGUUAUGUUGUGAUGAUGCUCUGAAUAAUUGUUAAUGGAAAAACUGAUUGGAAAAUAAUGAAACUUUACAGACUUAUAAAAAUUAUUUACUUUAUACUGCAAUUAGAAUAUAAAAUAUAAAUAUCAGUGACCGCCUAAACUUCUCAGCCAGUUUGAUUGCAAAAUAAUUCCCUAUUGAAGUAUCAGGAGUCCUUUCUUUGUUUACUCAGUAUAUUGCAGCUAAGGUUGUGCCCCUCACAUCCAUACAGAGUACUCCAUAAAUCCCUCCCCACCCAGAGCAUGGGCCAUGUACAAUGACCAGCAAGAGUGUAUUUUAAAGGCACCAAUAGGACAAAUGUAUGUUUCACUUUCUGUCUACAAAAAAAUCUGCCUCUCCAAAACCACUACAACCCUUCUCCUAUGAAAUGAGGACCAUCUCAUUAAGUUCAAAACAUCCCUCUUCAAUCCAAAUGGAGCAAAGCACAGUGGGUGUACUGGAUGCUCUCACCCAGGGUUUCAUUAGCAGCUUUCACUCUACCUUUGUAUAUAUUAUAAUUUUCAGUAAGCCCCCAAUUGUUCCACUUGCCUGACUGAAACCUUCUCAAUCUUGUUAUUCUUCAGUGCUAUUCUGGGAAAGCAUCGUGUCAAGUGGGCAGUUCAAAGGAUUGCCAGGUACCAAGGUCAACAUGUUCUCAAAAGUCUCUCCUAAGUUUCUUUCCAUUAUAAAGUUCACUUCAGUUAUGAGCUUCAGUAAGACCUUAGAUUAUGCAUGCACCCACACCCACAUGCGCACACACACACACACGCACACACACACACGUAUAUACUUUGUUUCCUAAAUGUUUGUUGAGUCUUAGAAGAUGUGUUUCAGGUACUUUUCCAGGCAAAGCUGACAAACUUCAGUAAAGAAAACAGAGAGCCCUACCCUUCCAUAAUAUAUGAAGAGUGGGGCAAGGUGAAAGAGAAUGGGGAGGGUGUAGCUUAUAAUUUUAAAUAGGGUAAUUGCCUCACUGAGAAGGGACAUUUGAAUAAAGAUCUCAAAGAUGUGAGAAAAUUAGCCCUCGGGAUAUCUGGAGGAAAAAUUCAAAGGUCCUAUAGUAUAGGGAUGUGUUGGAAUAAUAGCAAACAGGCCAGUCUGGCUAAUGUAUUGCUGAGAGACUGGUAGGAAGAGAUUUCAGAGGAUAAGCCUGGUUGGGUUACACAUUCUUUAUCUUUUUUUAAUUUAAUUUUUGUUUGUCAAAUAAUAAUUAUAUGUAUUUAUGGAGUAUAAUGUAAUGUGAUAUAUGUAUAAAUUGUGGAAUGAUUAAAUCAAUCUAAUUAACAUGUCACCACACAUUUAUCAUUUCUCUGUGUUGGGAACAUUUAAAAUCUACUCUUUUAGCAAUUUUGAAAUUUACAAUACAUUAUUAUUAACUGUAGUCACCAUGCUGUGUAAGAUAGCAUGACAAUUUAUGCCUCUUGCCCAACUGAAACAUGUUACCCUUUGAGUGACAUCUCCUUUUAUCCCCGUUCACCUCCAUCUUCUGCCACCAGCCUCUGGCAAUCACCAUUCCACUCUUUAUUUCUAUGAGCUUGAAUUUUUAAAAUAUUUUACACUGAAGGAGAUAGGAAGUCUUUGAAAUGCUUUGAGCAGAGGUUUUCCAUGAUAUGACUUACACUUUAAAAGAUCACACUGUGUUAAGGACAGACUAUAGGAGACAGGAGUAGAAGAAUAUUUUACUAAUUGAAGAGAUGGUGGUGGCUUUUUCCCAGCAAGUAGCAAUAGAAUUAGAACCAAGGGAUUUCCUGACAGGUUGGGUGUUAGAGAAAUGGAGGGGUCAAGAAUAAUUUCAAGAUGUCCAAGAGGACGUACGUAUUUAGUGUCAUAGAAUAAACAUUGUAUAUCCUACUUUACAAUCAAUUGCAGUCCAUUAUAAGUAAUGAAUGAAUUCUAUCAGAGAAAUUUUACAAAUGAAACACACAUUUCAAACACAGUUCUUGCUUAUUAUUGGAUAUACAGUUCUACAAUCUUCGAGUCUUUGUAAAUGAAUUAAUUCUCCUCUAAGAAAGACUGAUAGUAAUCAUAUUUAUUGAGUGCUCAUGAUGUACCAGGCAUUGUUCCAUGUUCUUUGAAUUUACUAAUAUAAAUGACCCUCAUAAACCUAAAAUAUAAAAACUAUUACUGUGUUAUUUCAUUCUCACGCUGCUAAUAAAGGCAUACUCAAGACUGAGUAAUUUAUAAAUAAAAAGAUAUUUAAUGCACUCACACUUCCAUAUGGCUGGGGAGGCCUCACAAUUAUGGCAGAAAGCAAAGCAGGAACAAAGUUACGUCCUACAUGGCGGCAGGCAAGAAGGCAUGGGCAGUGAAACUGCCCUAUGUAAAACCAUCAGAUCUCAUGAGACUUAUUCAUUAUCAUGAGAACAGCAUGGGAAAAAACCCACCCUUAUGAUUAAAUUACCUCCCACCAGCUCCUUCCCAUGACAUGUGGUGAUUAUGGGAGGUACAAUUCAAGAUGAGAUGUGGGUGGGGACACAGCCAAACCAUAUCAAUUAUGAUACUAAUUUCACAGAGAACUCAGAUAACUUGCCCAAGGUCACAUGGCUUAUAAGCUGUGGAACUAGCAACUAAACCAAGACAGUCUGGUAUGAAGCCUACUGUCUUAACUGCUAUGCUGUAGUAUUCAUUGUAAAUAAUUGAAAUUGCCUAGAAAUGUAGAGUAUUAGAUGAAUUUUUUAUCCUUAUGCUUUACAAAUUAUUACUGAUCAAGUGGAUUGGCUCAUUGAUGUGUCUUUUUCUCAGAUUUCCACUAGCAUAAAUAAAUCGUUUAUUCUUGCUCCACUUCAGUUCAAUGAAUUAAUGCCAAUAAAGAACAUAGAACAGUGCCUUGCCUAUAGAAAAUACUCAGUAAAUGCUAGUGUUAAGCUACUAUGAUAUCAGUGAUUUUUCAUUUUAUAACUUAUUCAUUCAACAACUGUGUUUAUGGUUCCAAUGUAUGGCCAGGCGCUGGGUUUGGCAGUGGAAAUAUAAUGAAAAAUACAGCACUGUCUCUGCCUGAAAGAAGUUCAUAACAUAUUACAAGGAGGUGUACUGCUUUCUAUUAAUACCAUGCUCUUAUCUCUGUGACCAUACCAUUUGAAUGUAUGGGGCUGGCUUCCAUUUGCAUCUCGUUUCCUGAGGGCCAAUUCAGAAGCCAUAAAAGAUUACUCUUUGUCUGCCUCCUGAGAGGCCAGAAGAAUAAUUACACACUUACACACACACACACACACACACACACACACUUGCACACACGGUUCUAUCUAGAAGUAGCCCUCAUCUAUUGGCUGAAGUGGGUAAAUAAAUACUACAGUUUCCUCAUCCCCUAGUAGAGAGAAUCCUGAGGCUUAUAUUCUACUAUUGUUCAGAGUUUUCCUGCAGGACUAAACUCUAGUUGCCCACAGUAGUAUCUGGCUUUACACAUUUUGUUGACUUUCUCACUCUCUCACUUUCCCACUCCUCUACAAUAGUAUCCUUAGCUUACCUACAAAAUUACUUACUUGUAUUUGAAUCAUUACCUUUAGGGAGCCCUGCUUCUGAGGGAAUCUUAACUACAAUAGAGGGAAAUAGGCAUGUACAUAAAUAAAAAAUCAGACAUAGCUAUUGCUCCUACAAUGGAUAUCCAUAUUUGGUAUGAUGGAGAUUUAAAAAAGAUAACAACCCAGAAAUGUCAAUUAUCUUGAGAAUCUUAGAAGGCAGUGAAGAAGGGAGGGAGCACUCUUGGAAAAGUGGGGAGCUUGAGUAUAUACAGAGGAGAAAGCUUUUGUUAGUAUGUUAGUAAUUUCAGCACGGCUGCAACAUAAUAAGCAGUAGAGGGAGGAAGCCAGAGAGCUAGUCUGGGAUACAUCAGAGAGAGUCUUCCUUGUCUUGAUGAAGAGGUUACACUUAAUUUUGUAGACAAUGGUGAGUUAUUAAGUUAAACUUAAUUGGUUUUCUAAUCAACUGAGUAAAAUUAUGACAUAUAGUUUGCAUUUUAGAAAAGUUAAAUUUGCAGGAAUAGAAAAGAAGGAUUAUAAGGUUCCCUAGAUACAUGAAGACAGGCCAUCAGAAGAACAGUGCAAAGUAUGAGGAAGAUAUGGGGAAAGCAGCAACCAAGUCAAAGCAAAAAUGGAGGCAAGAAUAGUGAUUACAAAUAUGUUACUGAGGUAUGGUCACUGACUAUAGACACUUGGCGAGAAGAUACAGUAAGGGAGAAUAAAACAACCUGGGUAACUUAUUUACCACUUGUUUUCAUAACUGGGUAUGUACAUGUGCCAUUCUCAAACAUGGCAGAAACUGCAGAUGAAAUAGGCAUUGAUUUAUGGAAUAGGAAAGAGAAGCUAAACGAUAAGGAAUUCCGUUUUGAAGAUGUUGACAUUGAAGUAUCUCUAGGACAUCAGGGAAUUGUUCAGUAGUAACGUGGUAAAAAGAGAUAGAGAUCUGGAGGUUUUCUAAUGUAAGUAUAUAUCAAUCAUCUGUUACUACACAACCACUUUAAACUUAGUAGUUUAACACAGCAAAGAUUUUCCAAUUCUAUGAAGUGUCUAGGAAGUUAUUUCCCUUGUUUACUUGGACUCAUCUCUGUAGCUUUAUCCAGCCUGGCAGAACUGGGAAGUAUAAAAUGGCCUCAAUCAUAGGUCAGGGGGCUUGGACUGGGUCAUCUUUUCCAUGUGGCCUUGCAUCUUCCAGACUAGCUUCCUCAUAUGGUGAACUCGGACUCAAGGUGGAAUCCCAAGAAGCAAAAGCAGAAGCCACUAUGUCUCUUCAGGCCAAGGCUCAGGACCAUGUGCAAUGCCACAACUGCCACGUUUUAAUGGUUUAAGCAAGUCAAAAGGCCAGACAAGAGUCAAGGGGCUGAUGGCUCAACAUUACAUUUUAAACAGGCAUCAACCGAGAAAGAUGUGACUUAGUCAAUGCCAUGAUUAUAACAGACAACUCCAAAAGAGUUUUGAAAUCUUGAGAGUAUCAGCUUUGUAAGUAGGAACCAAAUCAAAUUUAGUAGUGGAUCAGGAGCCAAAUAAGAUCUUUAGAAAGAAGUGAUAGAAAGAAUGCAAACAAAGAGAAGGGCCAAGGAAGCCAAGGGUGAAAAGCCUUUCAAAAAGACAAAAGUAUUUAACACAUCAAAAAUCUUAGAAAAAGCUAGUAAUAAGACCAAAAAAUAAAUAAUUAGAAUAUGUUAUAACUAAUUAUAUAAAAAUAUUAAUUGAAUUUAUAAGUUAGCAUAGAAAAUAUGUUUAAGUACUUAAUGUCUUAUGAAUGUGAGAAGACAGAUUUUAAAAUGUUCAUACAUAUUUGUGGUAUGAUAAUUAUAAAAAUGUGUUAUGUAUAGACUUGGAUGAAAAUCUUUGAAUGUCAUGGAACAAAUAUCAGCUCAAAGAGUAAAAAGGAAAGGUAUACAUUUUUCAAAUGUUAAAAAAGAGCAGGCUUAUUUUUUAAUCUUGGAAAGGGGUAUCAAAUAAUUAUGAUUUUCAGAAUGCUAUAACAUUUUUACUAGACGGGAGUUACCACAUGCUAGAAUCAGCAGCCUUUACAACUCUAUAAAAUUUAUUUAGUUAUUUAUCUCCUUCUAAAAAUUGUAUAUACAUUUAUAGGGUACAAGUGCAAUUUUUUUACAUGCAUAGAUUGCACAGUGGUAAGACUAGGCAAUUUACAGCAUCCAUCACCUGAAUAAUGUACAUUGGACCCAUUAAGAAAUUUCGACUUACAAUGAAAAAUUUAGAUGACAAGUUAAACAUGGGUGAAGAGGUACAUAAUUUUCCAAACUCUUUUAGUGAGUAUGGAAUCCAAGUUUAAAGUCCACCAGUCUGUAUUGCGUGCUUUAUGCCUUUUUUUCUUGAGGGCACUUUUUUAGUUUGUACUCUGGAGUUCAUUUUUAUGGUAUUUGAAAAACACUAUUUUCCACUGGUUGGUAUGUUUCAUGAAAGCAGGGAUGAUGCUAACUUUCGUUCACCAGUAUAUCCCUAGCAACCUGUGCAAUGUCUAGCCUAUCACAGAUAUACAGUAUAUGUCUACAGCUUAAAUUAUUUACUCAGCUUAAUUCCAGGCAAAAUUAAUACAUGUCUCAUCACUCUUACCACCACAUUGGAAUCUCUGCCUCUUUCUCCUUGAUAUUCUUUUAUACCUAUAAGUCCUGCUGAAUAAAACAGUGCUGCCUGUGGAAAUUCAUAUUAUCUUAUAUAUUAUAACUCUUGUAAUCUAGUCAUUCUUUUAGUAAUACUAAAUGAUUAGCCCUAUAUUACUAUUAUUAUGUUUAGAGAUGACUUACUGUGCAACUAGAAUAUGCACUACAAUAUAAAUUUGUAUACUUGUUAUAAACUGAACCUACUACUUAAAGCCAGAGCUCCUUCCAUCUUGGAAGUUUUCACAUGUUUGAUGUUUUUUAGCUUUUCUAUAUUUUAAAAAUCAGAAUAAUUUCCUCCUCACUUUCAUUCCUACAAAACUAAAUCAUUAGUCCUGUUAGACAGGAGUUACUAACCAGAAUUAUAACAGUCAACAAUGGAAGACAAAGUGAAUAGUGGUUUUGAGUAACAACCCAUGCUUUCAUUAAAUAAACAUGUUCUCUGCAUUAUUGUCAAAAGGAAAAUUUAUUGAAAAGAUGUCUAUGUGCAUUCCUGGAUUAAUUGUAAUGAAACAGUAACUAAUAAUUCUACCUAUAUGGUAUUGCAAAUAUGUAAGCUAAAUUCAUCACAUGAGCAUGUGGCACUGGCUUUAAGACCUAUAGACAAGUCUCACUGUUUCAAUGUCAGUUUAUGAUUUAUAGAUUAUAUUUUUAAAAAAAUUACUAGAAAUACAGACAGCUACUAAGGGUGAAAGAACUGAAAGGUAAAUACAUUAAGGUUACAUUUACUUCCACCACAGAAUUCUAAUAACAUUUGCACAAAGAUAAUAGGCAUGUUCAAUGAAAUAAUGAAAUAAGUAAACUUGUUGUCGUUACUGCUGUUGUGAAAAAUAUUGUCUCUAUUAGCAUCUACUAUUAGGAAAAAAAUCUAUGUCAAAGUGUCUUCAUUUAGCAACAAAAACAAAAAGUCUCUAGUACUUUUCUGGCAGGAGAAAAACAUUGUAAUUUUGAUAGCUCUUGCCAAUAGCAGUAGGAAUAACUAAAUGCAGAUAACUUAAAGUUUGAUACCUAAGUUUGCAGACCACUUUAUUAAAUAAAGCAGACAUAUGCACAGCUUUUUAGCAGGUACUUAAAAGUCCUGAAAGCUAAUGGUUAAAGAAUUUUUAGCCAGGGAUACAUAUUGCCACAUGCUUAAGACAAGAUUUUAACAUAUGUCAGAUGAACCCUAUCUUCUUCUGUAAAUACAUCAUUUCAAAAGAAUCAUGUAAUAGUUAAAUGAAAGCAGUAGUAUUAUUAAAGAAAGUAAUAGUUACAGUAAAUAGUUUAAUCAAUCAGAAAUAGUUAUACAUAAGCAGGUCUAUUUUAAAAGUUAUUUCUUCUAGAUGAUAAUGGAUUAGACCAGGGGAAUCCAAUCUUUUGGUUUCCCUAGGCCACAUUGGAAGAAUUGUCAUGGACCACACAUAAAAUACACUAACACUAACAAUACCUGAUGAGCUAAAAAAAAAUCACAAAAAAAGUCUCAGAAUGUUUUAAGAAAGUUUAUGAAUUUGUAUUGGGCCACAUUCAAAGCUGUCCUGGGCCACAGAUUUGACAAGAUCAGAUUAGACUUUUAUUUCAAGGCAAUACUAUUACCUCCUGUCAGCCUUCUGAUGGAAAAAAGGGUUCAUGGCUCCAUUAAGUCAAAAGAACAUGUACCCUUAGCGAAUUUAUCUCCAUUUUGGUAGAGAACAAAAAAGGAGUGUUAAUUCUAAUACCAGAAUUAGAGCUUGGAAUUCAGAGGGAAGUGAGAUAGACCAGAGCUAGAAAUGAGAGAAUCUGGAAUGGUCAUGCUCAUCGGGAAGACCAUGUUCAUCAAGGAGAAGAUAUCCUUGUCUUCUUCUUGACAAAGACAAUUUUGAAUGUGGCCCAACAAAAAUUCGUAAACUUUCUUAAAACAUUAUGAGAUUUUUUUUUUUUUUUGCAUUGGUUUUAGCUCAUCAGCUAUUGUUAGUGUUCGUGUAUUUUAUGUUUGGCCCAAGACAAUUCUUCUUCCAAUCUGGCCCAGGGAAGACAUUGUCAUUAUGCAAGAAAGCACAGCAGGGCAGGGAAUAACAAUGGUCAAGGCACGAUAAUAAAAUGGCAGCCAAUCAGGCCAAUGUUGCAAUUAAAAGGACUCAAGCCACAAUCAUGGAAUGCAGAACACGGGAUGUGGCAUAAGAGUGUCUAAAACUAGCUAAGCUUCCACUCUAAGCUUUAGCAGGUGGGCUCUAAUAUGACUAGUGUUUUUAUUAAAAAGGUAAAUUUGGAGAGAGACAACCACAUAAGGAGAUUGUGAGGAUUGGAAUUGCUGCCACAUGCCAAAGUAACUAUGAGAUGUUAAGAGAGAGGCCUGGAAUAUAUCAUUCCCUAGAGCCUUCAGAGGCAGGAAGGCCCUGCCAAUACCUUGAUCUUGGACCUCUAGCCUUCAGAAAUCUGAGACAAUAAAUUGCUGUUGGUUAAGCCACCCAGUUUGUGGCCCUCUGUUAUGGCAGGCCUGGGAAACUAAUACACUAACGUAUCAUUCUUCCAAAUCCAGAUUCACAUUGGCAAGAUAUUCCUCAUAAACCUAAGGAAAAAAUUAAAUUCUUAUAUAUUCCUAUAUAUACAUGAAAAGAAUGAAAAAGACAGGUUGGCUUUGGUUUUACAUUCCAUUGCUAUCUACGAGUGCCUUGGUUGUUCCUUGUAGAGUACAAGAGCUGCAAGCCUUUUAUGUAGUAUUGCUCUAUAACAUGUAACACUGUCUUAAGCAAACAUUCAUUUGUGGCAAGUCAAUAUCACAAAUGAAAUAUUGUCUGAAGAAAAAGGAAAAUCGAUAACCACCUUUAGGGUCAUUAAAUUUUGAUAAGGGUUUUCUGCAAACAUCAGUAUACUAGCAAACGGAUUGUAUGUUUCUCUCUUUCUUUCUAUUUAAUGAAAUCUGUCUAGGAACCCACUUGAGCUCAUUCAUGUGAGCACGUGCGUGCACAUGCACACAAACACACACACACAUACAUUUUUACAGAAUCAUCAGUGGCCUCCUUGAAGAAUUUGUUGUUGGUGGUUUUAUUUUAAAUAGCUGUAUUAACAAAUAUCAGCCUUGCCAUUAGAAGGAAAAGAAUAGUAAGCCAAUGAGGUAUCUGCAUGUGCUCCAAUGUCUGGACAGGUGGUUGUAAAAUUAGAAUAGAGUAAUCAUCUAAAAAGGACGGACAAGAUUUAAAAUACUCACUUUUUGUAUUUGAAAAUAUGUUGCUAUUUUUAAAAAAGAGGAGGAGAAAAUACUUUAGAAUAAUAUGCAAGGGAAAGAACUCAGCAUGAAAAUGAGAACAACUACAAAAAGUGUCCUUAAAAAAGGUAGGCAGCUCACUUUCCCAUAGGGUUUAGGCCAGUAGCCUAAAAAGUAACCACUUUUUGACCAUAUUCAAAUAAUUUCAAUUGUUUUCCAUUUUAUUAAGAAGUAAACUUAAUUCAUUUCUAGUCAUAGAAAAUUACAAAUUAUGUUUUAUACAUUUAUUUGGUUGCUCCUGUGUUAAAAAAAAUCUAGGGCUCCCAAAUAUUUCCCUUAUAUUUUUGGUGUCAUUAACUUGGCAAUACAUUACUGUUGACUACAUUCCACUAAAUGGUUGAUUAACAUUCUUUGAAAAAAUAGGCUAAUGAUGAUUUGAAUGUCCUGGGCCAGUAAUUCCCAAACUUUUUGUUUAUGUACACUUCCAAAUAUGUGCAUGCUAGUGCAACAGCAAGGAUACAUUUUUCAGAACUGAGAAUGCACUGAGCAAAUAAGUUGUUAAAGGAUAGCCUCUAUGAAAAUAUGUGGCAUAACAGGCAUUGUUCUUUAGCAAAGAUUCUUCUACUUUCUGUGUCCUGAGUUCCUAGUAGGCCCAGACAACACCGCUUGCUGACAAUGUCCUUAAAAAUGUUUGUAAAUCUCUCCUACCUAGUGAUUUGUUUAUGAGGUCCAUUAUAACACCAAACGCUUCCACUUAUGGAACAUUUCCUUCAAAGUACAUCCAGGUACCUAAACAUUUUAAUGUCUAGCAUAAUACUCUUUUUCUUUGUGCCUUCAGGGAAGAGUCAGCCCUGUCACUUGUAAAUAUUUUAUCAAUCAUUAUGAGAUGAAACACUCACCAAAAUAUAAAUGAAGAGGCCACAGUUCAGUAAACAGCAAGCCAUACAGGACAUGAACAGUGCAGUGGUAUAAAAUCUCUUUGCGUUCAUCUACACUUUCAAAUGUGUGCAUACCCAUCCAAAGAAGAUGCCUUUUUGGAAAUAAGAAUAAAAUAAACUUAGAUUUGGGGUGGGAUGAUUAUUUUCCAAAAUUUUAGCAGUGAAGGGAACUAAUAUCUACAAGUAGAGUGUUUAACACCCAGAUGCAUAAAAUAUCCUUGGCUAAAGCAUUUCGUAGCUCUCAGAUCAUGAGGAAAACAUAAGAUUACAGUGUACUCUAAUGGGCCAUUUAAAGACAGAAAGCAUUAUAGCAUAUCAUUGCUUCAUGGACCCAUUAAAACGGGUAUAAAUGACCAAUAUUUUUAAUAGCACUCUUGAUGAAUUUAAAGUUCAGAACAAUACUAAAGUCAGCAACAAUUACAAUUCAAAUGAUAUUGUACCAAAAGAACUUCUUAUGGUUUCUAUUUAAGCAGUUAUACUGUUUUCUUUGUUUCCCUUCAGCAAGGAACUGUUCUUUUCUAUUCUCUCAAGGAAAAGGUCUUUCAGGUUCCAGUAGACACAAGAUUGUUUCACUUUCUUCUUACUCAUUGUAAGUUGUGCCAUUCUUUUACCACAACAUAUAACCUGCUUGGCAAAAUGUUUCAUCUGAAAAAACGUCAGCCAUGGUAUAAGUAUACCAAGUUGCAGGGAAAAUAAACUUGCUUACAAUUUGCUUACAGUUGUAAAAAUUUGCUUACAGCUGUAACAAUUUGCUUAAAAUUUAAUAGUAUAAUGAUAUUGGGCUAAAAAACUCAAAUAAUGAGUUAGAAAAUAAUUCUCUAGGGACUAAAGAAAAAAAAGCAUCAUAGAAAAAGUUCUUGAAAGGAAAUAGCAAGAUAAGACUAGAGAGGAUUACAAAGACAGUUAUAUAUUAGAUCUGUUCAGAAUCCUUUUUUUUAUUGUUUCAUAACUUUUCUUCAUGAAAAAUUACUACACAGAGAGGUUAUAUGGGGAUAUAUUCUAUGAAAACACAGAAAUAUUUUAUUAAGAGUUAAUACAUAAUGGAUAUAACCACAACUCUUUCAAAAAUCAUUGGGUACCUAAAAUCAUGUUCAUUUGAAAAAUCAUAGAUUGUUGUGAUACUUAAGAAUGAAAUUUUGAUAUCUUAUAAAACAUCAUACCCUAAAGAAAAAUCUUUAGCCCUAAAGUAUUUCAACCAAGAAUAAUUGUAGUCUCUUCUAAUUACUAUUACAAAUUAUCUGAAUGUUCUUUAGAUGACACCAGCAUCUCAGUCAUUAUGUGCCUUUAAUAAAAAGUCAGACACCUUCCUCAGAGUGCAGCAGAAAAAAAACAAAAGGAAUAAAAUGACUUGCCUAACUAAAAGUUUUGUAAAAGUUGAUUUAACAGUUAACCUAAAUUAAUAGCUGUGGUCAAUUUGUAUCUCUGUUACUUGGAAAAUGGCAUGCUUACACUUCAUUGUGAGAACAGUGGAACAUUAAAAUAUUUCUAAAACAUUGAAAUAUAGUAAAAUGUUGACAAAUAUUUUAGAAUUAGACAAUCAUCUUGAUUUUUUUCUUUCCAGCUUUGAAUGAACCAAGUUUCAGACUUCCUUAAAGAAUAUACUCAUGAAUAAAGAAUUAACGUGUUUAGGUAUUAAGAUGAGGAGCUUCUGCUUACAGAUGACACUUUUACUAUUGGUAUAUGCUAGUAAAAGGGAAGCUGACAAGUAUAGAGGUUUAAAAAGAAUCACUGAGGAAAACAUUUGCUAUUUACUUUCUUAUGCUUUCAAAAAGCAAAUGCUUAAAAACAAGCAGAAUGUACUAAUUCUUUAUAUUUUUUUCAGAAGAAGAAUCUGUUUUAGAGAAAGCCAAAGCAAACCAAAACAAAAAGCUAAAGCAAUUUAAGUCUUCAAAUAUGAUCCAAGCAUUUGAAACAAAUAAACAUAUGAGGAUUUUUUCUUCUCAUGCCUUCACCUUUUCCUACUACUCUGGAAGGAAGUAUUAAUGUAGCUGAUAACUCUUAAAUUUGACUUCUCUAUGAAACAAAGAAAAGAAAAAGUAAUCAUAUAUGAAAGGUUGGCAAUGAUGUUCAUGAAAAAAAUUUCUGUUAUGGAUUUUUUUCGUAUACACACACACACACACACACACACACACACACACACAAACACACUGAUAUGGUUUGGUUGUGUCCCCACCCAAACAAAUCUCAUCUUGAAUUGUAGCUCCCAUAAUUCCCAUGUGUUAUGAGAGGGACCUGGUGGGAGAUAACUGAAUCAUGGGGGCAUGUUCUCCCAUGCUGUUCUCGUGAUAGUGAGGGGGGGUCUCACAAGAUCUGACGGUUUUAUAAAUGGCAGUUCCCCUGAACACGCUCUUCUGCCUGCUGCCGUGUAAGAGGCGCCUUGCUCCUCCUUCGCCUUCUGCCAUGAUUGUGAGGCCUCCCCAGUCAUGUGGAACUAUGAGUCCAUUGAACCUCUUUUUCUUUAUAAAUUACCCACUCUUGGGUAGGUAUUUAUUAGCAGCAUGAGAACAGACUAAUACACACAUGCACACACACACACACACAUACAUACACACUGACAAAAACAGAAAAUAAUUCAAUUGGUCUACUUUCAAAUAAUUUAUGAGCAGAAGACCAAAAAUAAAUGAAAUGUAUGAAUCAAUCAUUAAUUACAGUGUGGGAAGUAUUUUACACAAUGUCCAAAAUAUUGAUUACAUUUUAUAGCCUUUCCUAUGUAAUGUUGUCUCAAGUUAUUUGUGUUUUCAUGCUUUACAAUUAAUUCCAAGUUGAGACAUGCAAAGAUACAUAUUUUAUAAAAAAAAUUUCUGCACCUUACAAUUGCAAAUAAUGGCUUUUGAACUUUUCUACAAAUAUUUUGCAUACCAAAUGGAUCCCAUUUACUGUUAUAGUCAUUUUAUUUUGGUUACAGGAAUGUUCAGGGGCUUCAAUUGUAAAAUUCUUUUUUUUGCAUUUUAUAAAAUGAAUGAAAUGUUAAAUUGUGAUAGCCUUUUUUACAAGUAAAAACAAACUUUUGAAUGAUUCUAUAAACAAUCUAAUAACUUGAAAAGAAGUAAUUUGAUCAUGAAAAAUAAGACAUACACUGAGAUAGAAAUCAUAUGAGCUGUCUGUUAAUUUUUUCUUAGGGAGAAUGAAAAGAUUCAAAUUAUUCCUAUGUGUUUGAGGUUUCAGAUGUUUUAUAUAGCAUUAAAGGUAAAUCAAGCAUGAUGCCUGGCUGUGACAAAGAAAAAUAAUCUAGUUUAAAAGGAAGAGGGUGAGAAAAUUUUGCCCUGCUUUCUACGGAAAUAAGAAAAACAUAUGAUUCACCAUAUAAUUGAAUUUUCUACUUUAGUAUUAGUUCUAGAAGAUAUUUAAUUUAAGUAACAUUCUUUUAAUAUCUCCCUAAUCACUUAGAAGGCAUACGUAGUUUUAUAAAUGAAAACAAUAAAAUAAUAAAUACAUAUGUUUCCAUUAACAUUCGGGGAUUGUAUUGUGAUUCAUUCAUAGUGUUAACAGUGUGUCCAAGUAAGCAUCUGAAACAAUAUAUGCUACUAAUUAAAGGACAGUAUAUCCUGUGGUGUGAACUCUGCGAUCUAAUUAAAUUCUGGCUGCCCUCCAUUAUAAAAGAGGAACGUAUGUGAUGUGUGAAAAUGUGCAAAUUAAAGUAGAUUACUAAGUCCUGGAACUAAUAUUGGGUCGCUAAGGUAAGAUAUUUUUGAUGAUCUCAGUGUAUAAAAUGAUGAGUCAAGGGAUAAACCUCACAGACUAUAGACAUGCAUAUUAUGGCAGAUAAUUUAAAUUAGCCUGACAAAGUUAACUAAUGUAUCAAAAAAUAACUCAAUAGAAAGGAAAAUUUAAGGCAAUUGCCUUGCAUUCUUAUUAAACCUAAUAUUUACCAAAUUAAACCUUUCCUUUAAAUGUAAAUAAACAUAAUACUAAAAUUAUAGAUUUUUUUGUGGUUUUGUUAUCUUUUAAACAGUUCUAUUUAAUCAACUAGCUUUCAAUAAAAUUUUGAAUUUCAUUUUAAUUCACUAUUUCCAGAGAGUUGCCAUCAAUAAAAGUUUUUUAGAACAUUAAGGAUUUUGAAAUAUGCAAUUUAGUCGGCAAGAUCACUAGUAAAUUUUUCCUUCAGUUAAAAUAGCAAAAGAUGGUUUAAUAUAGAAUGCAAUUGACUCAGGAAGGGUGCUACCACAAUAUUUAUAAGGGAACAUUUUUUCUUUCCCUUAAGGCUUUUCUCAACAAAUGUGUGAAUAAUAUAUAUUAUUUAAUUAACAGACUAUAUUUUCAGAUCUGUAUUAGACUCUAUAUAUCCUCCCACCCUGCUCCACAGUUUCCCUUAUUAACUGUUUAUAUUUACAUGAUACAAUUUUUAUUUUAUCCUGGGUAGUUAGUUUUAGUUUUGUUGUUUUGUUGUUGUUGUUUGUUUGUUUUUGGAGACAGGAUCUCAGUCCAUUGUCCAGGUUGGAGCGCAGUGGCAGGAUCACAGCUCACUGCAACCUUGACCUCCCAGACUCAGGUGAUCCUCCCACCUCAGCAUCUCCAGUAACCUGGAUUACAGGCAUGCACCACUGCACCUAGCUAAUUAUUAUUAUUAUUAUUCUUUUUGUAGAGAUGGGGUCUUGCUAUGUUGCCAAGGCCGGUCUUGAACUCCUGGACUCAAGUGAUCCUCCCACUUCAGCCUCCCAAAGUGCUGGGAUUACAAGUGUGAACAACUGUGCCUGGCCUAUAUGGUACAAUUUUUAGAAGAUUAUUGACUUCCUGAGUCUGAAAAGUACUCCAAAGUCAAGGCAACAAAAUGGCCCAUUACUUCAAAAGAGGUGGAAGCCACACUAAGCAUUUCAGACCUCAUUUCAAGAAUAAUUUGUCAGGCCUCUGAGCCCAAGCCUGCACGUAUACGUCCAGAUGGCCUGAAGCAAGUGAAGAAUCACAAAAGAAGUGAAAAUGGCUGGUUCCUGCCUUAACUGAUGACAUUCCACCAUUGUGAUUUGUUCCUGCCCCACCUUAACUGAUUGAUUAACCUUGUGAAAUUCCUUCUCCUGGCUCAGAACCUCCCCUGCUGAGCACCUUGUGACCCCGCCCCUGCCUGUAAGAGAAAAACCCCCUUUGACUGUAAUUUUCCACUACCCACCCAAAUCCUAUAAAACAGCCCCACCCCUAUCUCCCUUUGCUGACUGUCUUUACGGACUCAGCCAGCCUGCACCCAGGUGAAAUAAACAGCCUUGUUGCUCACACAAA